CAAAUAUUCAAGAGAGCAGCAAGAAGUGGAGGAGGAGCAAGGAGGAGUUGAGGCAGGACAUCAGUCCCUUCCAAGAGGAAUCAUCAAAACUAGGAUAAAUUGCUCAAGGGCAAGUGAGGUCAAAAAGAAUAAUUGAAUUGAAGAAUAAGCAUACCAGGUUGAACGUCAAGAGGAUGAAGUGAUGAUCGGAGUCGAUGUUGCUAAACAAUCAAGUUGAUCUCCCAACGGUUCGUGUCUUCAUACACGAAGUCGUUUAGUAAGGACUUAUUCCGCUGUGUUUUUGUGAUGUGAGAAUUGUAGAAUCUCACCAUCAACUUUGAUUUAUUUGAGGAGACGUUCAUUCUGUUUUCAAGACCAUGUAAUGAAAUACUCGGCUUCUAUGAUAUCAAUUGACUUAGUCUUUGUGUAAA